rnacentral:rRNA from 1 species
GUGGGGAAUAUUGGGCAAUGGGCGAAAGCCUGACCCAGCAACGCCGCGUGAAGGAAGAAGGUCUUCGGAUCGUAAACUUCUAUCCUUGGUGAAGAUAAUGACGGUAGCCGAGAAGGAAGCCCCGGCUAACUACGUGCCAGCAGCCGCGGUAAUACGUAGGGGGCAAGCGUUGUCCGGAAUGAUUGGGCGUAAAGGGCGCGUAGGCGGCCUGGUAAGUCUGGAGUGAAAGUCCUGCUUUUAAGGUGGGAAUUGCUUUGGAUACUGUCGGGCUUGAGUGCAGGAGAGGUAAGUGGAAGUCCCGGUGUAGCGGUGAAAUGCGUAGAGAUCGGGAGGAACACCAGUGGCGAAGGCGACUUACUGGACUGUAACUGACGCUGAGGCGCGAAAGUGUGGGGAGCAAACAGGAUUAGAAACCCCGGUAGUCC